UUGACUACAUUGCAGCUUCCGACGGGCAGACUUUUCUCUAUGUUGGAGGUGAUGCACUGAACAGCCAAGGACCUCAGGCAGAGAGCAGCAGAAUCCACAGACCGAGGGAAAUCCCUGGGGCCCCGGAGCCCAGGCCACAUGACCAGAGGCGAAGAAUCCAGGACCAACCAUGUCAACAGACAAGCAGGACCACCUCUGAGUCUCAGGAUGACUUUACAUGUGAUGUUCCAUUUGCCCCAUCACAAGCUGUCCAGCGCAGCAUUCAGUCACGCUGUGCAGAAAAAAUCUGGACAAAGUGUUUGGCCCCCCCUUGACAGAGCGAGGGCGAGAGAUGGAGAGAUACAUCAUGUCAUUGUUUUCAAACCUCCGUAUCACGUCGGGCAGAAUCUGGUGGUCUUUUCUACCAUAGGAGACCCUCAGAGAUCAUGCCUGGGUCUCGUCCUUUAGCCAGGUGUUUCCUCAGAGAUCACAGUCAAACAUCCAAUGCGAGAUUCUGUAAGCUGCAAUCCGUCCUCAUGUGACAACAGGAAAAAUCAAUCCAACCUCACUGACCUCUGUAGAAGCUGUAAGAAUCGUCCAAUAGGUCUUUGCCCUCAAACAGCAGUCCAGCAGAAGAUGGUACAAUUCAUAUGUG